CACCUCUCAAGCCUGGCUUGCUGUUGGACUUUCGGUCUUGCUUUGGCGAUGACCAGUCUUAAAGAUAAUGAGGCGUCUGUGAGGACCCCUGUACACUGAGCUUUUAUAGCACGUACUAGGUGGAAGUCCGGGCCCGGUCUUACCCAUUUUUACUUUAAAAGGUUGACCUCGGAUCAGGUAGGAAUACCCGCUGAACUUAA
rnacentral:misc_RNA from 1 species